rnacentral:tRNA from 1 species
AGUUUUAUAUUCAAAUAAUGAUACUAAAUUGCAAAUUUAGAGUUGUGAGUUUCACUAAAGCUU